rnacentral:rRNA from 1 species
GACGAACGCUGGCGGCGUGCUUAACACAUGCAAGUCGAACGCUGAAGACCUGGCUUUUGUUGGGUUGGAUGAGUGGCGAACGGGUGAGUAACACGUGAGUAACCUGCCCUCUUCUUUGGGAUAACGCCCGGAAACGGGUGCUAAUACUGGAUAUUCACUGAUCUUCGCAUGGGGGUUGGUGGAAAGGUUUGUUCUGGUGGGGGAUGGGCUCGCGGCCUAUCAGCUUGUUGGUGGGGUGAUGGCCUACCAAGGCUUUGACGGGUAGCCGGCCUGAGAGGGUGACCGGUCAAAUUGUGACUGAGAAACGGCCCAGACUCCUACGGGAGGCAGCAGUGGGGAAUAUUGCACAAUGGGCGAAAGCCUGAGGCAGCGACGCGGCGUGAGGGAUGGAGGCCUUCGGGUUGUAAACCUCUUUCGCUCAUGGUCAAGCCGCAACUGUGGGUUGUGGUGAGGGUAGUGGGUAAAGAAGCGCCGGCUAACUACGUG